rfam:Triticum aestivum genome assembly, contig: Triticum_aestivum_CS42_TGACv1_scaffold_485724_6AS
GUUCUACUCCCUCCGUUCCGAAUUACUUGUCGCAGAUAUGGAUGUAUCUAGAUGUAUUUUAGUUCUAGAUACAUCUAUUUCUACGACGAGUAAUUUGGAACGGAGGGAGUACUUC